rnacentral:misc_RNA from 1 species
ACUGCCACCCCUGCCAUC